GAGUAAGUAGUAGAGAGAAUGGCUGAGGCAGUUGUUUCCUUUGUGCUCGAAAGUGUCAGAGACUUCACCAUUCAGGAAGCCAAGUUCUUGACUGGAGUCAGCCAUCAAGUUGAGGUUGCACAAAAUGAGCUGCAAUUGAUGCAGGGCUUCCUUAAAGAUGCAGAUGCAAGACAAGGACAAGAUGAAACAGUCCGUAUUUGGGUUGCCAAGAUUAGAGAUGCUGCUUAUGAUUUAGAGGAUGUCAUCCAAACUUACGGCUUGAAAGUGGUUUCCAAGAAGAAAAGAGGCCUCAAGAAUGUUCUCAAAAGAUUUGCCUGCAUCUUCAAGGAAGGGGUUCAUCUUCACCAGAUUGGGGCAGAAAUUGAGAAUAUCACUGCCAAAAUUUCGACGUUGAGAUCGAGUUUGCAGAGUUAUAACAUAAAGGAAAUAAGGGACAGGGACAGCGGUGGUGGUGAAUCUUCCUUGCAAUUGCAUGAGAGGCAAGGACUACUCAGGAGAAGUUAUUCUCAUGUUGUUGAAAGUGAUGUUGUUGGGUUAGAGUCCAACGUUAAAGAAUUGGUUAUGCAUUUGGUGAAAGAUGAAAACCGUCAUCAAGUUGUAUCUGUUUGGGGUAUGGGCGGUUUAGGGAAGACCACCCUUGCAAAAAAGGUUUAUCAUCACAAAAAAGUAAGGCAUCACUUUCGUAGUUUUGCUUGGGUCUGUGUAUCUCAACGGUGUCAAGUAAGAAAUGUUUGGGAAGGAAUUCUGUUUAAACUGAUUUCUGCUACCAAGGAACAAAAACAAGAAAUUAAGGAAAUGACUUAUGAUGAAAUAGCAAAGAAGCUUUUUGGUGUCAUGGAAGAAAUGAGAUGUUUGGUGAUCCUUGAUGACAUUUGGAGUAUCGAGACAUGGAAUCUUUUGAAGGUUGCAUUUCCAAAUGUGAAAACAGAGAGCACAAUACUGCUUACUACACGCAAUCAAGCAGUAGCUUCGCUCCCAAAUAGAAAUGUUUUUCUCCACAAACUCCAGCCACUCAAUGAGAAUGAGAGUUGGGAACUAUUUGAGAAGAAAGCAAUACCUGCAAGGGCUGAAAUCGACUUGGGAAUGUACAUAGACUUAGGAAGGAAUAUGCUUCAAUAUUGUAAAGGUUUGCCAUUAGCCAUCAUUGUGCUUGCUGGAGUUCUAGCCAGAAAAAACUCCAUUAGAGAAUGGGAGAGAGUGUAUGAGAAUGUUCAUGAAUACAUAAGCAGAGGCAUAGGUCAUGAAGAAGAAAAUGGAGGUGUAUCACAAGUGUUGGCAUUGAGUUAUGAUGACCUACCGUAUUACUUAAAACCAUGUUUUUUAUAUUUAGGUCAUUAUCCUGAAGACUUUGAGUUUUUGGUGAGCGAAUUGACUAAAUUAUGGGUGGCAGAAGGUCUUAUCUCCUUGAGACAACAAAGACAUGGUUUUAGGGAAACAAUGGAGGAUAUAGCACGUGAUUGCUUAAGUGAGUUGGUGGAAAGGUGUUUGGUUCAAGUGGGAAUAAGUGGUUCAACUGGGACAAUUAAAGGUUGUCGAAUCCAUGACCUUGUACGAGACAUGUGUUUGUUAAAGGCAAAAGAGGAAAGCUUUCUCCAGAUUAACAAUUCUUUGCAAGAAAAUACUUCUUUUGUGGCAGCUGAGGCAGCACAAUUGGGGAAAAUUCGAAGACUUGCAAUUUACGUGGAUGAGAAGGCAAAUAGGUUGGUUUCUUCAAGAGAUGAAACAAAUGGGCACGUAAGGUCUCUAUUAUUCUUUGGCCUAGAAGAAUGGAUGCCAAAAAGUGAAAAAGGAUUACUAUCUCCGUUGAAGGAUUUCAAAGUGCUUAGAGUUUUGAAGGUUGAACGUCUUUAUCAAGUAGAAGUAGAGUUGCCAAGUGAAAUUGGAAAUAUGGUACACUUAAGGUUUCUAAGUGUGAGGGGGAGUGAUAUAAAAACGUUUCCGCCAUCCCUAGGUAAUUUAGUAUGCUUGCAAACUCUUGAUUUUCGUGUUCCACGUCAUAUCGACAUGGUCAUCCCAAAUUUAAAUGUGAUAAUGAAGAUGAAACAAUUAAGACAUUUAUAUUUACCCUGGGAGUACAGAGUAAAGGGUAAGCUGGAGCUGUCUACUCUUGGCCAUCUACAGACCUUAUAUAACCUUUCAAGUGAGUAUUGUGAUUUGAAAGAUGUUGGUAGAUUAACCAAUCUUAGAAAACUGAAAAUAAUUCUGUCAAGCUCUUUGCAAAAUCUGGAGGAAAUCUUAAAAUCUACAGGCAACACGCUUAACCGUAUCCGGUGUCUAAUUGUAGAUAACAGAAUGAAUAGCGGUGAAGAGCAAGUUAUGCAAAUAGUAUCAAGCUGUCGGGGUAUAUACAAAUUGACGUUGGAAGGGCCAAUUGCAGAAUUACCGAAAGAGCCCCACAACUAUCCAAACCUCACCAAGUUAGUAUUGUGGAGUUGUGGUCUCAAGGAGGACCAAAUGGGAAUACUAGAGAAGCUGCCAAACCUAACAAUUUUGAAGCUUAUAUUAGAAGCUUUCGAGGAGAAUACAAAGAUAUUGGUUUUCUCCGAAGGAGGCUUUCCUUCUCUUAAAUUUCUUUACGUUGGUGGUAUGCACAGAAUAACAGAGUGGAGAGUAGAGGAUGGAGCCAUGCCUCGUCUCUGUCGAUUGGAAAUCCAAAAUUGCUUGGGAUUGAAGACGCUUCCAGAUGGGCUGAGAUAUCUUACUAAACUCAGGGAAUUAACCAUCAGAAUAAUGCCUAGAGAACUCCACCGUCGGAUUGAGGAAGAUGGAGAGGAUUUCUAUAAAAUUCAACAUGUACCUUCCCUUGUAAUUGGAGAACCAGACGACUUCUAACCACCACCGAUGCAAUGAUGUCAAGCUGCAGGUAGGAACUGAUAUUGAGAAAGUAUGUCGAAGCUCUACAGCAGAGGGAGCAUGUGCGAAGCUGAACUUACUUGGAGAAGAAAGAAAUGCUCUGUGAAAUCAAGAUGUGGUCAACUAGUUUAAAGUUCGUUACAAGCUUUUGGUUCUAGUGGUUGUCCAACAGUACAUUUAUAUUACACAAUUGAAAUUAUUGUAUUAUAUUAAAAUUUCCUUGAUGAAACCUUGUAUUUGUAUUCCUCUUUUGUGUAUGCUUUCAAUUAUGAAUAUUUGAGCCUGUGGGUAUGACAUGAUGCCUUUGUUUAUUUCA